AUCAUAUGUGAACUUUUAUGGUAGGCGGAAUCCCAAAUCAAAAUGGCAAAUGACGUCUAAAACCAGCUAUUUAAAAAAUGUGCAAAUUCAAGAAGAAAUCUUUUCCGAUCGAGAAUUCAGGAAACAACAAACUUUAAACAUCUUUGCAGAAGUCGUUUGGUCAACCUUAACGCACAAUGCAACAAAUAGACGAAGCAGCCAAUGCAACCAUAAAAGCUAUAUUUGAUCGAGUUAACAUAACUAUUAAUUCAACACAG